GAUGAACGCUGGCGGCGUGCCUAAUACAUGCAAGUCGAGCGAACAGAUGAGGAGCUUGCUCCUCUGACGUUAGCGGCGGACGGGUGAGUAACACGUGGAUAACCUACCUAUAAGACUGGGAUAACUUCGGGAAACCGGAGCUAAUACCGGAUAAUAUAUUGAACCGCAUGGUUCAAUAGUGAAAGACGGUUUUGCUGUCACUUAUAGAUGGAUCCGCUCCGCAUUAGCUAGUUGGUAAGGUAACGGCUUACCAAGGCAACGAUGCGUAGCCGACCUGAGAGGGUGGUCGGCCACCAUGGAACUGAGACACGGUCCAGACUCCUACGGGAGGCAGCAGUAGGGAAUCUUCCGCAAUGGGCGAAAGCCUGACGGAGCAACGCCGCGUGAGUGAUGAAGGUCUUCGGAUCGUAAAACUCUGUUAUUAGGGAAGAACAAAUGUGUAAGUAACUAUGCACGUCUUGACGGUACCUAAUCAGAAAGCCACGGCUAACUACGUG
rnacentral:rRNA from 1 species